rnacentral:lncRNA from 1 species
GCUGGGAUUACAGGCGUGAGCCACUGCACCCGGCCCUGAACUUAGGUUUUGAUGUCCCAGGGAUGUCCUGGUUGCUGGUCUUUCCCCACACCGGGUGGGGUUACGGUGGGUGGUGACUAGGAGUCAAUGUCAAAACCCUUUUAGCCACAGUUGAGCAAUAGGGGAGGUUUGGAGGGUGUGGUGCCUGGGCUGAGGCCCCCUGGGGCCCGUUACUGAGUUCAGUUUUGUCUGCUUUGGAGUCUCUUGCUGUCAUCUCGACGCGCUGGGCCAGCAUGAUCCUGCGAGGAGUUGUACUUCAAAAUUUAACAAGGAACAAACGCAAAGCUUCAAAAGGGGAAAUACAAGCUUUCCCAGAGGAGUUUCUCCAGGUGCAGCGUGUGGUGGCAGCAACAGCACAGGCAUUUCCUUACUUAACCAGAAGAGACUAAGGGAUCUCCUGGGUCAGGUUCUGUGGAGUUCCAGCAGAAGCCGCGGAUCGUGGAAGUUCAGCGACACCACCGUCCUGCCCCGUGGGAGAGGUGGGCAUUGAGAUGGGUAAGAGCGUCAUCAUGACAGGAGUCCUGUUCGCCGGCGUCUAGGGAAAGCCGUCUACAGCAUGAAACGUCCUAUUCGCGACCUGGUUUGCAGUUCGAAUGUCUCUGACUAUGGCAUUGGGAGGUUUGACAAACGCUCUUUCGAAUCCAGAAAAGUCAAGUAGAGAAGGAAAGUAAGGGGCCACUUACUGUGCCUCGAAUCACAA